rnacentral:rRNA from 1 species
UGCCAGCCGCCGCGGUAAUACGUAGGGAGCAAGCGUUGUUCGGAAUUACUGGGCAUAAAGCGCACGUAGGCGGCUCGGCUAGUCGGAUGUGAAAGCCCCUGGCUCAACCAGGGAAUUGCAUUCGAUACUACCGGACUUGAGGGCGGCAGAGGAGAGUGGAACUCGUGGUGGAGCGGUGAAAUGCGUAGAUAUCACGAGGAACACCGGUGGCGAAAGCGACUCUCUGGGCCGUUCCUGACGCUGAGGUGCGAAAGCCAGGGGAGCGAACGGGAUUAGAUA